CCAGAUCGUCAGCUAAGGUCCCUAAAUGUAAGUUAAGUGGUAAAGGAUGUGGGAUUGCACAGACAACCAGGAUGUUGGCUUAGAAGCAGCCACUCAUUCAAAGAGUGCGUAAUAGCUCACUGGUCGAGUGAGUCCUGCGCCGAAGAUUUCCGGGGCUAAAACUUACUACCGAAGCUACGGCAUCAGUAAUGAUGGGUAGGGGAGCUUCCCAUACGGGUUGAAGCAUGACCGUAAGGACAUGUG
rnacentral:rRNA from 1 species